AAAGGAACCGGAAGUUGCCAAACGGAAAACAUGGAAGUUCUGAAGCGGUAACUUUAAAAGUUCAUGUUAAAGAAGUUUGAAGCGUCUUCUUGGGUCACAAGUUGAUCUUGCUCUGGUUUAGAAACAGGAAUCCGUCGGAGAAGUUAAAAAUCACUCCAAGACUGAAGAAAAAAAACCCUGCAAAUUCCAGAAGCACUGCCAUAAGUGGGUGUGAAGGAAACUGGCUAGAUUUGUUACUGGUCCAUGAGAUGAACUGACCCAAAAGGUUGAAAGUUAAUGGCGCAUGAGCUUUUAGCUUAAAAGAGUUCACCGAGGAAAGAAAAUAAAUCAUCAAAGGCGGGAUUAUAAUGAUUAUUUUAAUCCAUCAAAAUAGAUGAUUUUUAUAUCGCAGGUAUGU